GACGAACGCUGGCGGCGUGCUUAAUACAUGCAAGUCGAGCGAGGUCCAUCUGGUGGCAACACCAGUGAAGGCCGAGCGGCGAACGGGUGAGUAACACGUGAGCAACCUGCCCCGAAGUCUGGAAUAACAUCGGGAAACCGGUGCUAAUACCGGAUCGCCCCACCUGACCGCAUGAUCGGGUGAGGAAAGAUUUAUCGCUUCGGGAGGGGCUCGCGGCCUAUCAGCAGUUGGUGGGGUAACGGCCUACCAAGGCGUCGACGGGUAGCUGGUCUGAGAGGACGACCAGCCACACUGGGACUGAGACACGGCCCAGACUCCUACGGGAGGCAGCAGUAGGGAAUCUUGCGCAAUGGGCGAAAGCCUGACGCAGCAACGCCGCGUGGGGGAUGACGGCCUCGGUU
rnacentral:rRNA from 1 species